GUGCUUGCUUCAGCAGCACAUACACUAAAAUUGGAACGAUACAGAGAAGAUUAGCAUGGCCCCUGUGCAAGGAGAGUGAAUCUUCCGUAAUGUUCAAAGCUAAUAUUU
rfam:Nomascus leucogenys chromosome 22a, whole genome shotgun sequence.